CCUACGGGAGACAGCAGUAGGGAAUCUUUCACAAUGGGCGAAAGCCUGAUGGAGCAACGCCGCGUGCAGGAUGAAGGCCUUCGGGUUGUAAACUGCUUUUAUCAGCGAGAAAUAUGAUGGUAACUUAUGAAUAAGGCUCGGCUAACUACGUGCCAGCUGCCGCGGUCAUACGUAGGAUCCGAGCAUUAUCCGGAGUGACUGGGUGUAAAGAGUUGCGUAGGUGGCAUAAUAAGUAGCUAGUGAAAUCUGGUGGCUCAACCAUUCAGACUAUUAGCUAAACUGUUAAGCUCGAGACCGUUAGGGGUAACUGGAAUUUCUAGUGUAGGAGUGAAAUCCGUAGAUAUUAGAAGGAACACCAAUAGCGUAGGCAGGUUGCUGGGACGGGUCUGACACUAAGGCACGAAAGCGUAGGGAGCAAACGGGAUUAGAUACCCGGGUAGUC
rnacentral:rRNA from 1 species